UNGACACGGUUGCCUCUGUGCCCUCCAUGG
rnacentral:piRNA from 1 species